rnacentral:rRNA from 1 species
UACGGAGGGUGCAAGCGUUACCCGGAAUCACUGGGCGUAAAGCGUGCGCAGGCGGCUUUGCAAGACAGAUGUGAAAUCCCCGGGCUUAACCUGGGAACUGCAUUUGUGACUGCAUGGCUGGAGUGCGGCAGAGGGGGAUGGAAUUCCGCGUGUAGCAGUGAAAUGCGUAGAUAUGCGGAGGAACACCGAUGGCGAAGGCAAUCCCCUGGGCCUGCACUGACGCUCAUGCACGAAAGCGUGGGGAGCAAACAGG